GACGAACGCUGGCGGCGUGCCUAACACAUGCAAGUCGAACGGAACUGUUUUGAAAGAUUUCUUCGGAAUGAAUUUGAUUUAGUUUAGUGGCGGACGGGUGAGUAACGCGUGAGUAACCUGCCUUCAAGAGGGGGAUAACAUUCUGAAAAGAAUGCUAAUACCGCAUGAUAUAUCGGAACCACAUGGUUCUGAUAUCAAAGAUUUUAUCGCUUGAAGAUGGACUCGCGUCCGAUUAGUUAGUUGGUGAGGUAACGGCUCACCAAGACCGCGAUCGGUAGCCGGACUGAGAGGUUGAACGGCCACAUUGGGACUGAGACACGGCCCAGACUCCUACGGGAGGCAGCAGUGGGGGAUAUUGCGCAAUGGGGGCAACCCUGACGCAGCAACGCCGCGUGAAGGAUGAAGGUUUUCGGAUUGUAAACUUCUUUUAUUAAGGACGAAAAAUGACGGUACUUAAUGAAUAAGCUCCGGCUAACUACGUG
rnacentral:rRNA from 1 species